rnacentral:ncRNA from 2 species
UAGACAGAUAGAGGUGCGAUUUUUAAAAGUACGCUAACCCAGAAGAGGCAAAGGGUUAGCGAAAAGGAAAAAUCGCCGAAGUGACUAGUGGAGCCAAGCUAGUAGUUGCUGGUUUUGAAUAAAAUAUAUUCAAGACUGUCAUGAAAAUCAAUUAUUUGAUUCUUAUGGAGGACUAUCAACAAA